rnacentral:rRNA from 1 species
GUUGUAUGGUUAAGUGACUAAGCGUACACGGUGGAUGCCUUGGCAGUCAGAGGCGAUGAAAGACGUAGUAACUUGCGAUAAGCCCAGAUUAGGUAGUAACAACCAUUUGAGUCUGGGAUUUCUGAAUGGGGAAACCCACUUACAUAAGUAAGUAUCAUUAACUGAAUACAUAGGUUAAUGAGGCGAACCGGGGGAACUGAAACAUCUAAGUACCCCGAGGAAAAGAAAUCAACCGAGAUUCCGAAAGUAGCGGCGAGCGAAAUUGGACUAGCCCUUAAGCUUUACACGCGUUAGACGAACGGUCUGGAAAGUCCGACGAUACAGGGUGAUAGUCCCGUAGUUGACGACGUGUGUUCAGUGAAAUCGAGUAGGGCGGGACACGUGAUAUCCUGUCUGAAUAUGGGGGGACCAUCCUCCAAGGCUAAAUACUACUGACUGACCGAUAGUGAACCAGUACCGUGAGGGAAAGGCGAAAAGAACCCCUGUGAGGGGAGUGAAAUAGAACCUGAAACCGUGUACGUACAAGCAGUAGGAGCAGGCUUUGUCCUGUGACUGCGUACCUUUUGUAUAAUGGGUCAGCGACUUAUAUUCAGUGGCAAGGUUAACCAUCUAGGGGAGCCGUAGGGAAACCGAGUCUUAACUGGGCGUUCAGUCUCUGGAUAUAGACCCGAAACCAGGUGAUCUAGCCAUGGGCAGGUUGAAGGUUGAGUAACAUCAACUGGAGGACCGAACCGACUAAUGUUGAAAAAUUAGCGGAUGACUUGUGGCUAGGGGUGAAAGGCCAAUCAAACCUGGAGAUAGCUGGUUCUCCCCGAAAGCUAUUUAGGUAGCGCCUCGGACGAAUACUACUGGGGGUAGAGCACUGUUAAGGCUAGGGGGUCAUCCCGACUUACCAACCCUUUGCAAACUCCGAAUACCAGUAAGUACUAUCCGGGAGACACACGGCGGGUGCUAACGUCCGUCGUGGAGAGGGAAACAACCCAGACCGCCAGCUAAGGUCCCAAAUUACUACUAAGUGGGAAACGAUGUGGGAAGGCUCAGACAGCCAGGAUGUUGGCUUAGAAGCAGCCAUCAUUUAAAGAAAGCGUAAUAGCUCACUGGUCGAGUCGGCCUGCGCGGAAGAUGUAACGGGGCUAAGUAGUAAACCGAAGCUGCGGCAAUGUGCUUUUGCACAUUGGGUAGGGGAGCGUUCUGUAAGCGGUUGAAGGUGUGUGGUAACGCAUGCUGGACGUAUCAGAAGUGCGAAUGCUGACAUGAGUAACGAUAAAGGGGGUGAAAAACCUCCUCGCCGGAAGACCAAGGGUUCCUGUCCAACGUUAAUCGGGGCAGGGUAAGUCGACCCCUAAGGCGAGGCCGAAAGGCGUAGUCGAUGGGAAACGGGUUAAUAUUCCCGUACUUCUUACAAUUGCGAUGGGGGGACGGAGAAGGCUAGGUGGGCCUGGCGACGGUUGUCCAGGUUCAAGUGCGUAGGCUUAAGAGUUAGGUAAAUCCGGCUCUUUUUAAGGCUGAGACACGACGUCGAGCACCUACGGGUGUGAAGUCAUUGAUGCCAUGCUUCCAGGAAAAGCCUCUAAGCUUCAGAUUGUAAGGAAUCGUACCCCAAACCGACACAGGUGGUCGGGUAGAGAAUACCAAGGCGCUUGAGAGAACUCGGGUGAAGGAACUAGGCAAAAUGGUACCGUAACUUCGGGAGAAGGUACGCUCUCGACGGUGAAGUCCCUCGCGGAUGGAGCUAUUGAGAGUCGCAGAUACCAGGUGGCUGCAACUGUUUAUUAAAAACACAGCACUGUGCAAAAUCGUAAGAUGACGUAUACGGUGUGACGCCUGCCCGGUGCCGGAAGGUUAAUUGAUGGGGUUAGACUUCGGUCGAAGCUCUUGAUCGAAGCCCCGGUAAACGGCGGCCGUAACUAUAACGGUCCUAAGGUAGCGAAAUUCCUUGUCGGGUAAGUUCCGACCUGCACGAAUGGCGUAAUGAUGGCCACGCUGUCUCCACCCGAGACUCAGUGAAAUUGAAAUCGCUGUGAAGAUGCAGUGUACCCGCGGCUAGACGGAAAGACCCCGUGAACCUUUACUACAGCUUGGCACUGAACAUUGACCCUACAUGUGUAGGAUAGGUGGGAGGCUUUGAAGCACGUACGCCAGUAUGUGUGGAGCCGUCCUUGAAAUACCACCCUUGUAGUGUUGAUGUUCUAACGUCGACCCCUAAUCGGGGUUGCGGACAGUGCCUGGUGGGUAGUUUGACUGGGGCGGUCUCCUCCCAAAGAGUAACGGAGGAGCACGAAGGUGGGCUAAUCACGGUUGGACAUCGUGAGGUUAGUGCAAUGGCAUAAGCCCGCUUGACUGCGAGAAUGACAAUUCGAGCAGGUGCGAAAGCAGGUCAUAGUGAUCCGGUGGUUCUGAAUGGAAGGGCCAUCGCUCAACGGAUAAAAGGUACUCCGGGGAUAACAGGCUGAUACCGCCCAAGAGUUCAUAUCGACGGCGGUGUUUGGCACCUCGAUGUCGGCUCAUCACAUCCUGGGGCUGAAGUCGGUCCCAAGGGUAUGGCUGUUCGCCAUUUAAAGUGGUACGCGAGCUGGGUUUAGAACGUCGUGAGACAGUUCGGUCCCUAUCUGCCGUGGGCGUUGGAAGAUUGAAGGGGGCUGCUCCUAGUACGAGAGGACCGGAGUGGACGAACCUCUGGUGUUCGGGUUGUGUCGCCAGACGCAUUGCCCGGUAGCUAAGUUCGGAAUCGAUAACCGCUGAAAGCAUCUAAGCGGGAAGCGAGCCCUGAGAUGAGUCUUCCCUGAUACUUUAAGUAUCCUAAAGGGUUGUCGGAGACUACGACGUUGAUAGGUCAGGUGUGUAAGUGCUGUGAGGCAUUGAGCUAACUGAUACUAAUUGCCCGUGAGGCUUAACCAUACAACACCCAAGGGGUUU